rnacentral:rRNA from 1 species
UACGGAAGGGGGCUAGCGUUGUUCGGAAUUACUGGCGUAAGCGCGCGCAGGCGGUCUUCCAAGUCAGUGGUGAAAGCCCGGAGCUCAACUCCGGAACUGCCAUUGAAACUGUGAGACUUGAGGACGAGAGAGGUGAGUGGAAUUCCCAGUGUAGAGGUGAAAUUCGUAGAUAUUGGGAAGAACACCGGUGGCGAAGGCGGCUCACUGGCUCGUAUCUGACGCUCAGGCGCGACAGCGUGGGGAUCAAACAGG